GAACACUCACUCGCUCCACUUUUCCUCUUGCUUAGGCCCUAUAUGUGGAGCCAUCUGGACGCGGCGAGAGGGAGUCAGCUGCUCCACACACUGAGGCGCGGAGCCUGAAUCCGUCUCAGCUCAUUCUGUGGGAUCAUCUGCGUGGUGGGCUUACACCGUGGAAAAUGCGCUCUCCAUCAUUAGAGUGCACGUGCAUGCGCGUGACUGCACAGGCAGCGGCGUUUUCCAUCAAUGCUCAAGAGAACUUUAAUUUGCCUGUUGACCCGUAUGAUUGAGCUACAGCCAACUCAUAAUGAUGCUGCCCCACCUGCAGGAGUCCCACAUCUCUCAAGUCACUCACAUCAAAAUGUGUGUUUUCUACAUGUUGCAUCGCGGCC
ensembl:lncRNA